GGGGAUUUAGCUCAGCGGUAGAGCACUUGCCUAGCAAGCGCAAGGCUCUGGGUUCGGUCCCCAGCUCCG
rfam:Rattus norvegicus chromosome 12, whole genome shotgun sequence.